rnacentral:lncRNA from 1 species
UUUGGAGAGACUCUUGCUAGGUUAAUUAUGCAACCAGUUGGCUUUGUGUAUUUGUAACUAUUAACUCACUCCUGCCCUUAACAAUGGUAUGAAGAUAAAAGUCAGUUUUGGGGUAGAGUCUAUUGUUGUUCCUCAAAGACAUCAGUCACCACCAACACAAUGACGUUGAGAAUGUUGGAAGUGAGGUACAGUUAGCUGAUCAGUUGCCGAUCUGCUCAUCUGGAGAAACGUAAAGCAGGGGCUUAUGGGAUUCCUUCUGGUUCCACAGACCCCAGCUCUGGGUCAUUCUUUAUGAACUGAACUGGACAGAGAUGUGCCACUGAGAACUACCAAUUCUAUGAGAAUAGCACUAGGCCAGGCGUGGUGGCCUUUAAUCCCAGCACUCCGGAGGCAGAGGCAAGCGGAUUUCUGAGUUCGAGGCCAGCCUGGUCUACAAAGUGAGUUCCAGGACAGCCAGGGCUGUAGUCCCCCCUCCCCCAGCCUGAAACCUGCUUGCUCAGGGGUGGAGCUUCCUGCUCAUUCGUUCUGCCACGCCCACUGCUGGACCUUGCAGCUUUGCUGUUUGGAGCCACAUCGUGCUCACCCUGCUACUGGAUUCCGAGAUUAUUUGGCGGGAAUCGGGUCCCCUCCCCCUUCCUUCAUAACUGAGUGUCGCAACAGUAAAAUUGAGCUUUGAUCAGAG